GCGAAAGUGGCGGAAUUGGUAGACGCGCUGGUUUUAGGUGCCAGUGGGGCGACCCGUGGGAGUUCGAAUCUCCCCUUUCGCACCA
rnacentral:tRNA from 1 species